rnacentral:tRNA from 1 species
GGAGGGGUCGCAUAGUGGUCUAGUGCGGGCGCCUGCUAAGCGCUUAGAUGGAGAAAUCCUUCUCAUGGGUUCGAAUCCCAUUCCCUCCGCCA